rnacentral:rRNA from 1 species
UACGUAGGGGGCAAGCGUUGUCCGGAAUCACUGGGCGUAAAGCGCGUGUAGGCGGCUCGAUAAGUCUGCUGUGAAAGUCCAGGGCUCAACCCUGGGAUGCCGGUGGAUACUGUCGAGCUCGAGUCCGGAAGAGGAGUGUGGAAUUCCUGGUGUAGCGGUGAAAUGCGCAGAUAUCAGGAGGAACACCGAUGGCGAAGGCAGCUCGCUGGGACGGUACUGACGCUGAGACGCGAAAGCGUGGGGAGCGAUCCGG